rnacentral:rRNA from 1 species
GACAGAGGGUGCAAACGUUGCUCGGAAUUACUGGGCGUAAAGCGCGUGUAGGCGGACCACCAAGUCGGACGUGAAAGCCCUGAGCUCAACUCAGGAACUGCAUCCGAAACUGGCGGUCUGGAGUAGUGGAGAGGAAAGCAGAAUUCCUGGUGUAGAGGUGAAAUUCGUAGAUAUCAGGAGGAACACCGGUGGCGAAGGCGGCCUGCUGGGCAGUAGCUGACACUGAGGCGCGACAGCGUGGGGAGCAAACAGG